CAAAAACACAAAGAGAAGAGAGAGAGUGAGUGCGUUCUCUAGUGGACCCUCUCUUUCUCUCGUUGAAUAUGGGUUUUUGAAGAACAGAAUUAGGGUUUAUGAUUCGAUGACCCAAACAACAAAACAACAACGUCAAUGGUCGCGGAGAUGCUUCCAAGAAUCAAAAACUAAUUCUAUAAUGAUUGAUAGGUGUUUAAUUGACUCAUCAGACUACAAUACGUCAACACAAGAGGAGGAGGACACUUUUCACCGUCUCCAUGUCUGUCAACGAGAAUGCUAAUUAAAGAAUCUGAUGAUGAUGAUGAUGAGGAUGUUGGUGGCCAAGAGUGUCUUCUCUUUCUUUUGGGGUUUUUAACAAGAAGAGCCAAGAAUCAGUUUCCCCGGAAGCAGGAGGAGGGGGUUAAGGACACUUUUCACCGUCCCCUUGUCAAUGAGAUUGUUUGAAGUCAGAGACAUGGAUUGAAGAAUGAAGGAGAAGAAUGAUGACCCGCACAACAUCAACAUCAAUCAGUGGUAAAUGGUUAUCCCCUUCUUUAUCAGAGAUAGUAUGAAGGAUGAAGAAGACUCUGACGGCUUAAGGUUUCAUUUCAAUCAUCAACACAAUCCAUACAAAGAAAGACAUCUUCAGUGAUCCUAAUGGAAGUUAUAGGAUACAAUGAACUCUAUGAAGUUGCUUUAUGAAGUUGGUAUUGAUAAAAUUUGGUUCACUUCACUUCUUCUGAUUCUUCAUGGCAAGAUUUGAAGGAUCGAAUGCGGAAAGCUGGUGAUGUGUGCUUUGCUGAGGUCACUCGAGACUGUGAUUGAAUGGUGUCGUCGGCUACACCAGUUAUGACGACAUGAAGUAUGCGGUAAGAUAAGGAAACGCAAUGUCACAGAAUUCAGAAACCCCUGGCCUAGAGCUUUUAUCCGGGUUUGGUAGAUGCUUCAUUCAUACCACAUAUGUGACUUUUGUACUCUCAAUUUUGUUAGGCUAAGUAAUAUGAAAGCUCUCUGUCAAGAAGCCCAAGCAGAAGCAGAAGUCGUAGUCGUAGCGGCGGUCGCAGACUCGCAGCCGUAGCCUUAGCAGGAGCAAGAGCCCAAGGAAGGAUCUGAGGUGCAGAGGUAAUCUUCUAUUUGGAGCGAUCAAACUGAAACACUAACUUUGAAUCAGAUGGCAGUGGUUGAGUCUUAUGCUUGGGGGCAAGAAAUCAGACACUGCACAAUUGCCUGCAACUAUCACUUCGUUAGUUGUUGAAGGGAUAUCCCAAAAUACAACUGGUAGUAUAUUUGUCCCAGAGCUGUGAAUGAAUUUCGAGACAACCAUGUCGCAGUCUUCUAUGAUUCUAUCCUUCAUGCUUUUCUGUUGAACUCAGAGGAAAAAACGUGGUGGUGUUGCUGUAGAAACGAUGUGGAUGUUAGUAUGAAUACUCAUCUCAAAAGCCGUGAAACUAACUCUGAAAGGGAAAAACCCCGGUUACAUUAGACCAAUUUAAGUGUUAUGUUCUUCCGUACAGUUUAAAUCUCGAGAGUCGAGACUUUGUUGGUUGAAGACACACCAAGAAUCAAAGCCAACUGCUGGUGAAUGGGUAUCACAGGGAUGUCGACAGGUCGAGGGCGGGGUCGUGGACGCGGAUCCCAGGUUUUUUUAAGUAAUGACAAUAGAGGAUUGUGUGUUGUUUAUGAGGCCAAUCUCCUGAAGAUAUCUUUUCUUUUUGCGUGGGAAAAAAGAUGAACCGAGCAAACGAAAUUCAAACCGGGUUCAGAUUUAUAAUACUAAACCGACUGAGAACAUGUACAAAAGUACAAACAAUUUUUGGUUUAGAUAAAACAGAGGAAAUAAACAAAAUUAAGAUUCCAAACCGGAUUCAGAUUUACAAUACUAAACCGAUAGGUAACAAUACAUUA